UUACUUUUUCUCCUCUUUGACAGUUGUCGUCUAUUCGAACGUUAUACAGUGUCUGAGUUGUACUGAACUGUCAAACCCUCAGAACACAGAUUUUGUGUCAGCUCACAUCUUAUUUCCAGAGAGGAAAUUCUAUAUCUGCCCUCAUGCGUUCUCUACAGCAACGACGCUUGAAAAAUAAACAUUCUGAACUUGUAAAUUUUACUAAAUAGAAGUAAGAAGAAUAUUGUACAAAAUAAAGGCUUGUACAAAAACUCAACUGACAGUUGUCAAGUAAAACGGCUCAUUAGUGGGACAAUAUUAUAUUAUUACAGGUUAACUCGAUUGACGAACAAGACAGACCGUGUGUACAUCACUACAAUAGUAGUAGUGUUGCCAGUAAAAAAAAUAUUUUUGAAAUCACAGAACGUUCAUAAAUCUAUUUUCAUCGCAGAGAAAAAAGAACGUUCAUAAACACUGAGCCAAUAAACUACAUACAGUGGUUAGGGUGGCAAGCCGACUCGUGUGCCUCUGCCAGUGGUGAGGGUGGCAAGCCGACUCGUGUGCCUCUGCCCAAUUAGAACAAAAUGCAAAAAUACCCUUCUAAUCACAUCAAUUGUUUACAGAUUUUGAAGUGCUGAGUUUUGGAUUGCCUAGAGCGUGGUGUUGAUGACUUUGAGAAGACGUUGCGGUCGAGGACGUCACGCCAUCAGGAAAGGCCGUGUUACAAAUAUAACUCCGAACCUCAGAAUAAUAACAGGAAGCAAUCGUAUUUACACCGCGACGACGUACUCUGUGGUCGGCAGAUAAGCCAUGGCGUGAAACGUCAAAAAGGAGAUGUCAAUGUCAUUGUCAAGGAAGGGGGGAGUUGAUUUGAAUAUGGAGUCGUGUUCUUGUAUUUUCUGAUUUAAUUUGUUUGUUAUCGAUAUAAAUCCUCAUGUUUUCAAGUUGUAUUAAUGAUUUAUGGUAAAACAAACCUAUUUCACAAAUGAGUUUACUUUUUGUGUCACCUUUUCCUUCUGGUUUUAACAGAUUUGUAAAUCUAUUUUCAUCACAGAAAAAAACGAACGCUAUAAUAAAUAAAAUUAUUUUACUACCUAACUGGACCAAUCAAAGUCAAAAUCGGUCAAAAAUCAUCAUGAAUCGGUGAAUUGUCUAUGACAGCAACCUAUUUGGGCAUUUCAAAUCUCAAUGUAAACAAAAUGUUAUCCAAACAAACAGACAGCAGCAAGUGAAGAAUUACAGUUAACAAGACUUUUACCUACUUGGAUAACAGCGCAAGCGACCAAAUGACAACAGAUGGUACAGACAUCUGAAAAGAAAAAAGAGCUGCAGCAAUGGGAAACAUCACAUCCUGCGAGUCUACAGGCCAGAGUGUGAGUAAGGACACUCCAAAAAAGCCGUCAUACAUAGCUAACAACAUCAAACCCAUCACUGAAGAACCCACAUAUCCUACUGCGUGAGAGACUGCCAGUGAUACCAGGUCAGCUGUUUCUACACAACACUCAGUUCGGCUACAUUGUUGCUGGCACUGCACCAUUGAACAGCGAGGGAUGUUCAUCACUACCAAGUAACUUUUGCAACUUUCCUAUUUUUUCGGGAAUACCGCCGCUGCCCCCGGGCCAUGCCUCUAUAAUGAGAAGAUCACCUGGGUGAAGAUGACGAUGCAACAUCGACAUGUCGAAGUACCCAGCGAAUGUGACGACAAAACUACUAAAUGGAUUUUGAUCAACAGACAACCUGGAUAGGCAACUUUUUAAAAAUCCUAGAAUCACUACCAGAAAACUUUUUAGCUCUAAGUUUUAUUUUAACAGUUACUAGAAAAUAAAACCGAGAGAGAGAGAAAACAGCUGUAUUUAUUUUAACUCUUUGGACACAUGGCGCCAUCUGUUGCCGAGUAGCGGUAAUAAUAGCGACACCUGUUGUCGAGUAGUAGUAACAAUGAGUUAGUGCAGUGAGAGUGAAGUGAACGUAACAAUUAUAUUAUUUAUAUAUAUUUUAAUAUUUAUAGGUUCUAUUUAAGUUUAGGUUUAUUAGUAGAUCACAUUUUAUUCUGUUUUAUUUAAUAAAGUAUGCUCUUACUUAAAAGAGCUAUGAUAUAAUUCAAGCUAUCGAUUUUAACUGUUACUUGUAUCCAUAUUCUGAUUGAUAAAUAAUAAAUUUAGAAAUAUCAUUGUGAUUUUAAUCAUACCUACUUAUAACAAUAUAAAAUAAUUUAACAUGAUUGUGUUGAUGUAGUUUCUAAUGUGGAUUUGUAUACUUAAAAUAAAAUAAAUUUGUCUUGGCA